rnacentral:rRNA from 1 species
GACGAACGCUGGCGGCGCGCUUAACACAUGCAAGUCGAGCGAGAACCGGGGCUUCGGCCCCGGGGACAGCGGCGAACGGGUGAGUAACACGUGAGUAACCUGCCCUCGGCACCGGAAUAGCCCGGGGAAACCCGGAUUAAUGCCGGAUGGCCCCUCUGCCCUGCGGGGCGGCGGGAACAGGUAGCUUCGGCCUCCGGCCGAGGAUGGGCUCGCGGCGGAUUAGGUUGUUGGCGGGGUAACGGCCCACCAAGGCGACGAUCCGUAGCUGGUCUGAGAGGACGAUCAGCCACACUGGGACUGAGACACGGCCCAGACUCCUACGGGAGGCAGCAGUGGGGAAUCUUGCGCAAUGGGCGAAAGCCUGACGCAGCGACGCCGCGUGCGGGAAGAAGGCCCUCGGGUUGUAAACCGCUUUCAGGAGGGACGAAGCCACUCGGGUGAACAGCCCAGAGGGUGACGGUACCUCCAGAAGAAGCCCCGGCUAACUACGUGCCAGCAGCCGCGGUAAUAC